AUUCAACUGAUGAGUCCCGAAUAGGAAGAAACACGAGUCCUGAAU
rnacentral:hammerhead_ribozyme from 1 species